rnacentral:rRNA from 1 species
UACGAAGGGGGCUAGCGUUGUUCGGAGUUACUGGGCGUAAAGGGCGCGUAGGCGGCGCAUCAAGUCAGGCGUGAAAGCCCUGGGCUCAACCCGGGAAUUGCGCUUGAGACUGGUGUGCUUGAGUACGGGAGAGGAUAGUGGAAUUCCCAGUGUAGAGGUGAAAUUCGUAGAUAUUGGGAAGAACACCAGUGGCGAAGGCGGCUAUCUGGACCGUAACUGACGCUGAGGCGCGAAAGCCAGGGGAGCAAACGGG